rnacentral:rRNA from 1 species
UGGGGAAUCUUCCGCAAUGGACGAAAGUCUGACGGAGCAACGCCGCGUGAGUGAUGACGGCCUUCGGGUUGUAAAGCUCUGUUAAUCGGGACGAAAGGCCUUCUUGCGAAUAGUUAGAAGGAUUGACGGUACCGGAAUAGAAAGCCACGGCUAACUACGUGCCAGCAGCCGCGGUAAUACGUAGGUGGCAAGCGUUGUCCGGAAUUAUUGGGCGUAAAGCGCGCGCAGGCGGAUUGGUCAGUCUGUCUUAAAAGUUCGGGGCUUAACCCCGUGAUGGGAUGGAAACUGCCAAUCUAGAGUAUCGGAGAGGAAAGUGGAAUUCCUAGUGUAGCGGUGAAAUGCGUAGAUAUUAGGAAGAACACCAGUGGCGAAGGCGACUUUCUGGACGAAAACUGACGCUGAGGCGCGAAAGCCAGGGGAGCGAACGGGAUUAGAUACCCCGGUAGUCCUGGCCGUAAACGAUGGGUACUAGGUGUAGGAGGUAUCGACCCCUCCUGUGCCGGAGUUAACGCAAUAAGUACCCCGCCUGGGGGGUACGACCGCAAGGUUG